rnacentral:rRNA from 1 species
AAUCAACGCUGGCGGCGUGCCUCAGACAUGCAAGUCGAACGCGAAAGUUUCCUUCGGGGAACAAGUAGAGUGGCGCACGGGUGAGUAACACGUAGGUAAUCUACCUUUGGAUGGGGAAUAACAAUCGGAAACGGUUGCUAAUACCGCAUAAUGCAGCGGCACCUAAUGGUGACAGUUGUUAAAGCGGGGGGAUCGAAAGACCUCGCGUCUGAAGAGGAGCCUGCGGCGGAUUAGCAGUUGGUAAGGUAAUGGCUUACCAAGGCUACGAUCCGUAGCUGGUCUGAGAGGAUGAUCAGCCACACUGGGACUGAGACACGGCCCAGACUCCUACGGGAGGCAGCAGUGGGGAAUAUUGGACAAUGGGGCAACCCUGAUCCAGCAAUGCCGCGUGAGUGAAGAAGGCC